rnacentral:rRNA from 1 species
UAAUACGUAGGUGGCGAGCGUUGUCCGGAUUUAUUGGGCGUAAAGCGCCCGCAGGCGGCCUGACAAGUUUCAGGUGAAAUCUCCCGGCUUAACUGGGAGGGGUCCUGGAAAACUGUCAGGCUUGAGGCAGGGAGAGGGAUGUGGAAUUCCCGGUGUAGUGGUGAAAUGCGUAGAUAUCGGGAGGAACACCAGUGGCGAAGGCGGCAUCCUGGCCCUGUCCUGACGCUCAGGGGCGAAAGCGUGGGGAGCAAACCGGAUUAGAUACCCGGGUAGUCCACGCCGUAAACGAUGAGUACUAGGUGUAGGGGGUAUCGACCCCCUCUGUGCCGAAGCUAACGCGAUAAGUACUCCGCCUGGGGACUACGGCCGCAAGGCUA